GACGAACGCUGGCGGCGUGCUUAACACAUGCAAGUCGAACGGAAAGGCCCUGCUUUUGUGGGGUGCUCGAGUGGCGAACGGGUGAGUAACACGUGAGUAACCUGCCCUUGACUUUGGGAUAACUUCAGGAAACUGGGGCUAAUACCGGAUAGGAGCUCCUGCUGCAUGGUGGGGGUUGGAAAGUUUCGGCGGUUGGGGAUGGACUCGCGGCUUAUCCGCUGGUUGGUGGGGUAGUGGCUUACCAAGGCUUUGACGGGUAGCCGGCCUGAGAGGGUGACCGGCCACAUUGGGACUAAGAGACGGCCCAGACUCCUACGGUAGGCAGCAGUGGGGAAUAUUGCACAAUGGGCGGAAGCCUGAUGCAGCAACGCCGCGUGCGGGAUGACGGCCUUCGGGUUGUAAACCGCUUUCGCCUGUGACGAAGCGUGAGUGACGGUAAUGGGUAAAGAAGCACCGGCUAACUACGUG
rnacentral:rRNA from 1 species